AAUGAACGCUGGCGGCAGGCCUAAAACAUGCAAGUCGAACGCCCUAGCAAUAGGGAGUGGCGCACGGGUGAGUAACAUGUGGGAAUAUGCCUUUUGGUACGGAACAACGUUUGGAAACGAACGCUAAUACCGUAUGGUCCCUCCGGGGUAAAGAUUUAUCGCCAAAAGAUUAGCCCGCACUAGAUUAGCUAGUUGGUAAGGUAAUGGCUUACCAAGGCGACGAUCUAUAGCUGUUCUGAGAGGAAGAUCAGCCACACUGGGACUGAGACACGGCCCAGACUCCUAGGGGAGGCAGCAGUUAGGAAUAUUGGACAAUGGGCGCAAGCCUGAUCCAGCCAUGCCGCGUGAGUGAUGAAGGCCUUCGGGUUGUAAAGCUCUUUUGGCGGGGACGAUGAUGACGGUACCCGCCGAAUAAGCUCCGGCUAACUUCGUGCCAGCCGCCGCAGUAAGAC
rnacentral:rRNA from 1 species